rnacentral:piRNA from 1 species
UGGACUUUAAAUUUCUUGUAUAAGCCAUGGC